rnacentral:tRNA from 1 species
GCCUAGUUAGCUUGGAAGGUAGAGCGAUUGCUUUGUAAGCGCUAGGUCGCUGGAUCGAUUCCCGUGCGAGGCG